CCUGGGGAGCUGCUGCCAGAGCCCGAGCCCGAAGAGGAGCCGCCCCGGCCCCGCGCCCCUCCGGGAGCUCCGGGUCCUGGGCCCGGCUCGGGAGCCCCCGGCAGCCAGGAGGAGGAGGAAGAGCCGGGACUGGUUGAGACCGACCCCGGGGACGGCGCCAUUGAGGACCCGGAGCUAGAAGCGAUCAAAGCUCGAGUCAGGGAGAUGGAGGAAGAGGCUGAGAAGCUAAAGGAGCUACAAAACGAGGUAGAGAAACAGAUGAAUAUGAGUCCACCCCCAGGCAAUGCUGGCCCAGUGAUCAUGUCUCUUGAGGAGAAGAUGGAGGCUGAUGCCCGUUCCAUCUACGUUGGCAAUGUGGACUAUGGUGCGACAGCAGAAGAGCUGGAGGCCCAUUUUCACGGCUGCGGUUCAGUCAACCGGGUGACUAUACUCUGUGACAAAUUUAGUGGCCAUCCCAAAGGGUUUGCAUAUAUAGAGUUCUCAGACAAAGAGUCAGUGAGGACGUCCCUGGCCUUAGAUGAGUCCCUGUUUAGAGGAAGACAAAUCAAGGUGAUUCCCAAGCGAACCAACAGACCAGGCAUCAGCACAACAGACCGGGGCUUCCCGCGUGCCCGAUACCGCGCCCGGACUACCAAUUACAACAGCUCCAGAUCUCGAUUCUACAGUGGUUUUAACAGCAGGCCCCGGGGUCGAAUCUACAGGUCAGGAUAGAUGGGCUGCUCCUCUUCCCCGCCUCCCAUGAGCCCUUAGGCUUACGUUCUUUCCUGAUCUGAGGACCCUUACUCCCAUGUCCUCCCUUUGGUUCCAGGGACUUGGUCCUUCUUGUGCAGAAUAAGGAAGUAGUUGCAGGCCAGUUGUGUACGUUUUCUUGAGUAGGAGUUGAUGAGGGUCAAUUUGUUGUGAGGUGUUUGUUCCCUUGGCCUUUUGGGGAAUUGGUGGCAGUGAAAGUGUUUACACUCAGAGUUGUAAGGCCUCAGGGUAGGAAAAGUAGCUUGCUUGGAGUUUGUUACUUUUCCCAUGCUUGGAAGGAUCCAGCUCCGGGCGGGUCCUCCCACAGCCAUAUUCCCAAGGUUAGCUGUCUGAUGGGGCUUGGUGGCUCCGCAGUGUGACUGCUCUAUUCCUUCUGUCCUUGCAUUUGAAUUGCACAGUAAGAUAAAGCCUGCUUUCCUACCAGAUAGGGCCUGGGUGCUGUGGAACACUGGGCAAACAAUGGAUCCUUUUUCUUGUCCUCAGUAUCUAAGAUGUAUUUCCUUGCCCCUUUCCCACCUCAAGGCCCCCCAGUUUGCCAGUUGUGUUAUUCCUGGAUUGAGGCCUCGCUUUUGAGGUGCUCCCUUCAGUCACUGGGGCAGUUGCGGGCCCAAGGGGAGGGUCUUGCACUGAACUCUCUAGUAACCCUGUUAACACCUAACUCUCCUUCUUUCUUCCAGGGGCCGGGCUAGAGCGACAUCAUGGUAUUCCCCUUACUAAAAAAAGUGUGUAUUAGGAGGAGAGAGAGGAAAAAAGAGGAAAGAAGGAAAAAAAAGAAUUAAAAAAAAAAAAAGAAAAACAGAAGAUGACCUUGAUGGAAAAAAAAUAUUUAAAAAAAAAAAAAGAUAUACUGUGGAAGGGGGGAGAAUCCCAUAACUAACUGUGAGGAGGGACCUGCUUUGGGGAGUAGGGGAAGGCCCAGGGAGUGGGGCAGGGGCUACAUAUUCCCUCUGGGGAUUCGCCAUGGACACAUCUCAACUGUGCAAGCUGCUCCCUGUUUCCCUGCUCCCCUUCAUCCUCUUUGGGCCUGCUCAAGGGUAGGUGGGCACGGGUGGUAGGAGGGCUUUUUUUUACCCAGGGCUCUGGAAGGACACCAAACUGUUCGGCUUGUUUCCUUCCCUCGUCUCUCCCUGCCUUUUGCAGCCCCUGCCUUCCUGCUCCUGUCCUACCAGGUCUCCGCCCACCCUACCCUCUUUCCUCCGGCUCCCUGCCCCUCCAGUUUGCCUGGUGAUCUAUUUUGUUUCCUUUUGUGUUUCUUUUUCUGUUUUGAGUGUCUUUCUUUGCAGGUUUCUGUAGCCGGAAGAUCUCGCUCCCAGCGGCUCCAGUGUAAAUUCCCCUCUCCCUGGGGAAUGCACUACUUUGUUUUGGGGAGUUUGGGGGUGUUUUUGUUUUUCAGGUGUUUUUGUUUUGUUUUAUUUUUUUUUUCCUUUACCUUUUUUUUUCCCUUUUAUUUGGAGGGAAUGGGAGGAAGUGGGAACAGGGUGGUGGGGG
rnacentral:lncRNA from 1 species